UACGUAGGGGGCAAGCGUUGUCCGGAUUUAUUGGGCGUAAAGAGCGUGUAGGCGGCCAAGCAGGUCCGCUGUGAAAACUCGAGGCUCAACCUCGAGACGUCGGUGGAAACCGUUUGGCUAGAGUCCGGAAGAGGAGAGUGGAAUUCCCGGUGCAGCGGUGAAAUGCGCAGAUAUCGGGAAGAACACCCGUGGCGAAGGCGGCUCUCUGGGACGGUACUGACGCUGAGACGCGAAAGCGUGGGGAGCGAACAGG
rnacentral:rRNA from 1 species